rnacentral:rRNA from 1 species
UCUAGUGAAACACUCUCGCUCUAUCUUGAGUUUGUUUCUGGGGGCUCUAUACGUAAGUUGCUUAGAGAAUAUGGUCCAUUUGAAGAGGCAGUCCUCCGGAAUUACACUGCACAGAUCCUUUCUGGCCUUGCAUACUUGCAUAGGCGGAAUAUAGUGCACAGGGAUAUCAAAGGAGCAAAUGUAUUUGUAAAUUGUAAUGGUGACAUCAAACUCGCAGAUUUCAGUAUGACCAA